rnacentral:rRNA from 1 species
CGCGUAGGCGGCUUUAUAAGUCAGAGGUGAAAGCCCACAGCUCAACUGUGGAACUGCCUUUGAUACUGUGGAGCUUGAAUUAGGUUGAGGUUAGCGGAAUGUGGCAUGUAGCGGUGAAAUGCAUAGAUAUGCCAUAGAACACCAAUUGCGAAGGCAGCUAACUAGGCCUUGAUUGACGCUGAGGCACGAAAGCGUGGGGAGCGAACAGGAUUAGAUACCCUGGUAGUCC